rnacentral:rRNA from 1 species
UACGUAGGAUGCAAGCGUUAUCCGGAAUUAUUGGGCGUAAAGCGUUCGUAGGUGGUUUGUUAAGUAGGGCGUUAAAUCUUCGGGCUUAACCCGAAGUUGGCGUCCUAAACUGGCUCACUAGAGAUAGGUAGAGGUAAGUGGAAUUCUGUAUGUAGGGGUAAUAUCCGUAGAUAUGCAGAGGAACACCAAAAGCGAAAGCAACUUACUGGACCUGUUCUGACACUCAAGAACGAAAGCGUGGGGAGCAAACGGG